GACGAACGCUGGCGGCGUGCCUAAUACAUGCAAGUCGAACGCUGAAGCUUGGUGCUUGCCCCGAGCGCGUGAGUUGCGAACGGGUGAGUAACGCGUAGGUAACCUGCCUGGUAGCGGGUGAUAACUAUUGGAAACGAUAGCUAAUACCGCAUAAGAGUAUAUGUUGCAUGACAUUUGCUUAAAAGGCGCAAUUGCAUCACUACCAGAUGGACCUGCGUCGUAUUAGCUAGUUGGUGAGGUAACGGGUCACCAAGGCAACGAAACAUAGCCGACCUGAGAGGGUGGGUGGCCACACUGGGACGGGGACACGGCCCAGACUCCUGCGGGAAGGAGCAAGAGGGGAACUUCCGGCAUGGGCGGAAGUCUGACCGAGCAACGCCGCGGGGGGGGAGAAGGUUUUCGGGUCGGAAAGCUCGGUUGUAAGGGAAGAAAGAGUGUGAGAGUGGAAAGUUCACGCUGUGACGGUAUCUUAUCAGAAAGCGACGGCUAACUACGUG
rnacentral:rRNA from 1 species